CAGCCGCCGCGGGAAUACGAGGGGGGCAAGCGUUGUUUGGAAUUAUUGGGCGUAAAGGGCGCGUAGGCGGUUUGACAAGUCUGAUGUGAAAUCUAUGGGCUCAACCCAUAGCCUGCAUUAGAAACUGUCGGGCUUGAGUAUGGGAGAGGUGAGUGGAAUUUCCGGUGUAGCGGUGAAAUGCGUAGAUAUCGGAAGGAACACCUGUGGCGAAAGCGGCUCACUGGACCAUAACUGACGCUGAGGCGCGAAAGCUAGGGGAGCAAACAGGAUUAGAUACCCCGGUAGUCCCUGUCUCUUAUAC
rnacentral:rRNA from 1 species